CUAGGUCAGCUGACGCUCUUCGUAUUUAACUUUUGAUUGUGUGGACCAAAACGCCUCUGGCUCUUAAUUAUUUCCCAUACAUGACCAAUGUCGUGACACCCUAGUGCCUGUGUCGGGACAUCGAAGGCAAUUUGUUCAUAUUCAAGGUAUCUUCAGGGGUGUGUCGCAACAUCCUCAGACCGUGUCGUAACAGUAAAGACA
rnacentral:lncRNA from 1 species